CGCGAUUCGCCCUUCGGGGUGCAGCAGGCGCGAAAACUUUACAAUGCUGGCAACAGCGAUAAGGGGACCUCGAGUGCCAGGAUACAAUCCUGGCUGUCGUAAUGCCUAAAAAGCAUUGCAUAGCAAGGGCCGGGCAAGACCGGUGCCAGCCGCCGCGGUAACACCGGCGGCUCGAGUGGUAACCGCUAUUAUUGGGUCUAAAGGGUCUGUAGCCGGCUGACUAAGUCUCUUGGGAAAUCUGGCAGCUCAACUGUCAGGCUUUCAGGAGAUACUGAUCGGCUCGAGACCGGGAGAGGUGAGAGGUACCUCAGGGGUAGGGGUGAAAUCUUGUAAUCCUUGAGGGACCACCAGUGGCGAAGGCGUCUCACCAGAACGGAUCUGACGGCAAGGGACGAAAGCUAGGGGCACGAACCGGAUUAGAUACCCGGGUAGUCCUAGCCGUAAACGAUACUCGCUAGGUGUCGGCCACGGUGCGACCGUGGUCGGUGCCGUAGGGAAGCCGUGAAGCGAGCCACCUGGGAAGUACGGCCGCAAGGCUGAAACUUAAAGGAAUUGGCGGGGGAGCAC
rnacentral:rRNA from 1 species